GAAAUGCGAUAAGUAAUGUGAAUUGCAGAAUUCAGUGAAUCAUCGAAUCUUUGAACGCACAUUGCGCCCGGGAGCAUUCUCCCGGGCAUGUCUGUUCGAGCGUCAUUUCAACCCUCGACCUCCCCUUGGGGAGGCCGGCCGUUGGAGAUCGGCAGCGAUUGCCGGCUCCCAAAUUCAGUGGCGACCCGCCGCGGGGACCCCUGCGCAGUAACAUACACUCGCACCGGAAACCAGACGUGUCACGCCGUAAAACCCCAACUUUCUGAACGUUGACCUCGGAUCAGGUAGGAAUACCCGCUGAACUUAAGC
rnacentral:misc_RNA from 1 species